rnacentral:tRNA from 1 species
GCCUGGCUGGCUCAGUCGGUAGAGCAUGCAACUCUUGAUUUCAGGGUUGUGAGUUGAAGCCCCACAUCAGGCA